GGCCUGUUAGCUCAAUCGGCUAGAGAGUGGUGCUUAUAACGCCAAGGUCACAGGUUCGAUCCCUGUUCAGUCCC
rnacentral:tRNA from 1 species